AUGGAGGACAGGAGGCACUUGCCUCCAGAUGGAGGUGGCAAUGCCAAGCGCUCCGCCUCAGCAGAGUGCGACACAGAGGAUAGAGUGGUCAGGAAGGAGCAGGGUGACCCUGAGACCUCGACACAAAUGCGUGUGAGAAAAGAUGAUCUCUGUGAUGUCCCUCGCAAGGUGCCUCGUUUCCAGUAUGUGGAUUUCCCUUCUCUGCACCAGUGCAUCCAACAGCUUUCUGUGCCUCCGCUCAAUGGUUGGCUGGGAUCCUGCUCGUUGACAAAGGCACCAGACUACAGGCCCACCAGUCCUAAGGAAAAGGUUCCCAAGUUUAAAUAUGUGGACUACCCAUCUCUCCACCACUGCAUUCAGCAGCUGUCUGUGCCCCCUUUAGAAAGCUGGAGUGCAGGGCUCGUCAGGUUUAAUGCAGAGGGGAAACAAGAUGACUCUGGGACUGUGAAGAAUAACCUAAGGAACGAGGCAAGAGAUCAAAACAACGAGAACAGGAAUAGAGUUACAGCAUUUUCUUUCCCAAGAGACACACACACCUCAGUCUCAGGUAAGGAGGAGAGUCCUCAACACGACUACACUUCAGAGGUGCCACAGAGGUUAGAGAAAGGUAAUGCACCUCUAAGGUUCUGUUCUACUAAACCAGAAGCUGCUUUACAAUCAGUUUGCGGAUCUAGAUCAGAAUCUGGUUCUGGAUCUGAUAGCGACGCAACAUUGGGGAGAAACAACAGACCAUCGGUUAUUAACAUGGUGUACACAGAUAAGCAGAAGCGCUGGACAAAGGCAGGUCACCUGGAAGAACAGCUGAACUCUCCUGAUUCAGUCAGACGGGUACCGUGGAAUACCCUCCCAGAGUCAGUCUGCCCAUUCUGCCAACAGAUGUUCACAAACCCUGAGCAGUUCAGGGCUCAUCAGCGGAGCCAUAGAGAUAAGAGACCAAACUGAAGUGCAGAAGUACUGAGUGAGAACUGCUUUUGGCAAACAGUUAAUGCCACAUCAUAUGGAAUCGGAUCAUCAGAGGCCUUCUUGUGUUGUGACCGGCUAAAGUGGUAUUGCUGGCAGGACUAUAGGGAGAUCAAAGACACAUUAAACACGUUUGGGUUCAGACCUUAGGAAGAAUGCAAGACUUUGUCUUGACUGAUGUUGUGAUGUCUAAUAAGGCAGAACUGAACAGACAGAAACAAACAAGCAUACAAUAUGCAUGCACAUACAGUACACUUACAAGUGUGCUGACACACACACAAACACACACACACACACACACACAGAAUCCUAUUCAUGAUUCAGAAGAGGUCAAAAUGUACUGCCCCACAUAAGGACCAUCAAAUAUAAUGGGGUUUCAGCUCAAGACAGGGGAUUAGAACCAGAUUUAUAGUCUAUUCCACACAUACAUCAGCGUGUUUACAGGGGUGGGUGAAGCUUGAUGGACUGGUGCAUAAGAGGAUGAAUUUUAUUACAUAUGUGUUCCCCACACUGUGUGCAUAGUGGCAGGCUAAAUAUUUAGCUUUGGGUGCCUACAAAAUAAUGGCUAUUGUUAAUGCUGCACAAACAGACAGGUUUGUUAAUAAUGAUUUGUUACAUUAGCUUUUUAUUGUUUUGUAUUUUUUAUGUUUUUGGAAAUUAAUGUCUAGUGGCUUUGAGCUAGUAGCUUUAAAUCUUAAAAAUGUACCGCUUGUUUUCAAGUGUUUAAUUGUGUGAGUAAAGACUUUUUCAUACAGAAAUAAAUGUUUGACUUUUCAGUACAGGCAUGUCCUCUGCAAGAAAACCUGUUUGACAGGUUACCUCUCAGGUUCUCAGAUGAAGUAUUUAAGCUUUAUAUAAACAUAAGAGCUAAUCCAACAUCAACAGUAACAAAACUCACUAUUUACAUUUAAACCUUGAGUAUAAAUGGAUAUUUAACUAUUAUGAAAGAUGUAUAUUGACCUUUUGCAGGAAUAUAAUGCAUUUUUAUUGUAAUAUUGUAAAGUUUUGUAAAGUUCUGAUUAGCUAAAAACAUGUUUAUUUUGAGGAACUAUACAUUACAUAACUCAUAGCAAAGGUCAAGUAUUUCACAUUUUAUCUGAUUUUAAAGUUAGAGAGAAACAGUUACAUUGUCUCUUUUAUGAAUCUCAGAAAAAGUUUACACAACCAAAUUUCAAUAUAUGUUUGUAAUGGAAUAUUAUGGAUUAUAUUAUGGCCUGUAUAUUUUAAUUCACAAAUACACAAACGAUUUAAACUCACUAAAGGUUUAAUUAUUAUGUCAUGAAUCUCCAGGACUUUCCAGAGCUCAGCUGUGGGGUUUCCUGUAAACAAAUUAUGUUGCGCUUUCAUUCACACUCAGAACAGAUCGACAGCACAGCACAGACAUUUUUGGUGAGGAUUUUUAAAUAAUCUCACUCAAACAGAUCAAAUGAAAUGUACUAGAAGAACCAGAAAAAACUGUGUGAAAAAUGCAGGUAUAAACCCAAACAAGGAAGAGCUGAGAAGCGUGAGAAAGAAGAAGGACAACAAUGGGAACUGGUAUUUGUUAUUUAUUAACUAUUUUUACUAUUUGUGAAUGGUAAAUUAUUAAUCCAUUUGUUUAUAAAUAUAGAGCUCAGCUGUGGGGUUUCCUGUAAACAAAUUAUGUUGCGCUUUCAUUCACACUCAGAACAGAUCGACAGCACAGCACAGACAUUUUUGGUGAGGAUUUUUAAAUAAUCUCACUCAAACAGAUCAAAUGAAAUGUACUAGAAGAACCAGAAAAAACUGUGUGAAAAAUGCAGGUAUAAACCCAAACAAGGAAGAGCUGAGAAGCGUGAGAAAGAAGAAGGACAACAAUGGGAACUGGUAUUUGUUAUUUAUUAACUAUUUUUACAUUUUGAAUGGUAAAUUAUUAAUCCAUUUGUUUAUAAAUAUAUUCACAACUAUUGAAAAAUUACUUUCACUUUCACUUUGUCCUGUACGACGCAACAUGCCUAAUCAAUGCUUCAGUUACUCUUAUUACACAUUUCACAUUAUAAUACCCAAAAAACUGCCAAUUAUUGUUCUGUAGGAAAUUCACAGGUGACUGAAGAUCUCAGCCUGGAGGAAAGUACUUUUAAGGUGAGAAUACUGUUGAAUACACUCAUGGCCAAAAGUUUUGGCAGUGACAUAAAUUUUGUGUUUUGCAAAGUUUGCUGCUUAAGCUGUUGUGGUGUUCAUUCACGUUUUUUCUAGAUUAUUGUGUAGAGUGAUCAGAUGCAUUUUUAAAUUAGCUACAUUGGCCAAAAAAUUAACUUUUCAAAAAAAAAAAAUAAAUAAAUAAAUCACUGUUUUUUGAUCCUGACACAAAAUGACCAGCUAACAUUAAUUGACUAAUCAUAUCAGCAGCACAUGUGAAAGUGUGAAUGAGUACUAGUCAGGUUAAUCACUUUCAUACUUAUUAGAUUGUAAGAGCAGACUGAUGGCUAUAAAAAGAGGGAAGAAGUGCUUCCAAUCAUUGUGUUCUUGUUAGCAAUGGUUACCUCCAAAGAAAUACAUGCAGCCAUCAUCGCUUUGCAUCAAAAUGGCCUUACGUGCAAGAAAAUUUCUACAAAGAAUAUUGCACCUGAAAGAACCAUUUACCGGAUCAUCAAGAACUUCAAGGAGAGAGGUUCGACUGCAGUGAAGAAGUCUUCAGGACGUCCCAGAGUGUUCAGCAAGCGCCAGGACAGUCUCUUCCUGAGGAGUCAGCUACAGAAUCGUGUCUCCAGCAGUGCAGAGCUUGCUCAGGAAUGGCAACAGUUUGGUGUGAGAGCAUCUGCACGCACAGUGAGGCCAAGACUUUUGGACAACAGCCUGGUGUCAAGAAAAGCAGCAAAGAAGCCACUUCUUUCCAAGGAAAACGUCAAGGGCAGAAUGAAAUACUGCAGGAAGUACAAGGACUGGACAGCAGAAGACUAGUGCAAAGUUAUUUCCUCUGAUGAAACUCCCUUCCGACUGUUUGGGACAUCUGGAAAAUUGAUUGUUCGGAGGAGAAAAGGUGAAAGCUACCAUGAGUCCUGUGACGUGCCAACAGUGAAGCAUCCUGAGAUCAUCCAUGUGUGGGGGUUGCUUUUCAACCAAGGGAGUGGGCUCUCUCAUGAUUCUGCCCAAAAACACUGCCAUGAAUAAAGAAUGGUAUCAAAACUUCCUGCAAGAGCGACUUCUUCCAACGAUCCAUGAGCAAUUUGGUGAUGAUCCAUGCAUUUUCCAGCAUGGUGGAGCACAUUGUCACAAGGCAAGAGUGAUAAAGAAGUGGCCAUGACUGUACAUUCUUAGCUUGUAACUACGAUGUUGCAUCAUUAAAUACCAGUCAAAUAUACAAAAGACCCCUAAAACGCUGCUUAAAAAUGUCAGGUCAGCAUAAAGACAGUAAUGUCAAUGGAGCACUAGUGCUGGCAGUGCUAUUGGCUAAGUCACUGGAAUAAACUGAUCAAAUUAAUCACUGUAUCUUUUGUCUGUUCUGUAAAGGUGCUUUCUUCUCCCUCUCAAACUCAAUCAAUAAUUAAUAACCAAUCCAUUAGGACUUCUGGAUCUCAGGAAGGGAGAAACAGUCUAGAUCCCACAAACACAGUAAGCACUCCAUAUUAACUUCAUUUCAUUGUACAACUAAAUCUGAACCAGACUCAAC
rnacentral:lncRNA from 1 species